UAGAAGCAGCUACCUUUAAAAGAGUGCGUAAUAGCUCACUGGUAAAGCGUUCUUGCGCCGACAAUGGCCGGGACUUAGAAAAGUGACCUGCCGAAGCUGUGAGAUUUAGAGAAUCUAAAUCGGUAGGGGAGCGUUCCGUUGUUGGGUGAAGUUUCCAUGGAAAUGGGAAUGGACAGAUCGGAAGUGAGAAUGUUGGCUUGAGUAACGAAAACAUUGGUAAGAAUCCAAUGCCCCGAAAACCGUUGGGUUCCUCCACUAGGUUCGUCCAUGGGGGGUGAGUCAGGACCUAAGGCAAGGCCGAAAGGCGUAGUCGAUGGAAAACAGGUUAAGAUUCCUGUACUGUUUUUAUUGGGAACCAAGGGACGAAGUAGACUAAACUGGGACUGUGAUUGGAAUACAUUGGAAGCGUUAAAGCAGACGAUUUUAGAAAAAAAACUAAAAUAAAGGAAAACGUGACCCCUAUUCUUAUAAGUAAUUAGAAGAGUAGCCAGUGAUGUCAAACUUCCAAGAAAAGCUUGUACACCAAAAAGAAAUUUUAAACAAUAAAAAUACUUGUACCUGAAACCGACACAGGUAGGUUGGUAGAGUAUACUAAGGGGCGCGAGAGAACUCUCUCUAAGGAACUCGGCAAAUUAACCCCGUAACUUCGGUAGAAGGGGUGCCUUAUUUCUAAAUAAGGUCGCAGAGAAAUGGCUUAAGCGACUGUUUAUCAAAAACACAGGUCUCCGCAAAGUCGAAAGACAAUAUAUGGGGGCUGACGCCUGCCCAGUGCCGGAAGGUUAAGGAAGUUGGUUAUUAUUAUUUAUAAUAAAAAGCUGAUAACCGAAGCCCCGGUGAACGGCGGUUGUAACUAUAACAAUCCUAAGGU
rnacentral:rRNA from 1 species